ACCAUACUCUCGAAAUUUGUCCUAACUAACAAAUUCAAGCAUCACCAGCAUCACCAUCAGCAGCAACAACAGUGGCAGUGGAAUUGUAGGGAUUUGCUUUUGUCGUUGGUCCCUUCUUCGGUCCCUGAUCAGUACCAACCGUCAACUAUCGUCGACUACGAGUGUGUUAUAUAGACUGUGACGUGAUCCGGGGUUGCGGAUGAUGCGAAAAUUUUCCGGGAGGUCGUCGAGUCUCGGUUCGCCGCUGGUCGUAGUCGUCGUCGUCGUCGUUACUCGGUGAAUCGGCGACCGCGACCACAUUUGGAGUCAGGGCAGUCGGCACAACGGCCAAUUCGACACGCGCGAUCCUCUUCCGCGGAUUACCUACACUCGACGCCCAGUGCCUACCGGGCUCUCUUACUCGGUUAUCACACAUGCCCAAGAGUGCCGGUUGGUUCGAGCGAGACCGGAAUUACAUACGGAAUUCAUAAUAUCUCGUAUAAUAUUCGCCGCGAUUCUUCGUACUCGACGGUCUGAUUGCUCUCCUUACGGGGUCAUGAGACCGCCAAGUUUCACGGCUUUAUAGCCGCUGUUGCUGUUGCUACCGCUGCUGCAGGUGAUAACCAGAAGAAUUACUACCUGACACUAGUCAGUCCACUUAUCGACGAUUCCUCGAAGACCUGCCGCUGCUGCUGCUUGCUGCAUAUCGUAGCGCGUCGCGCUCAUCCAUUUACGCGUCCCCAUUAGCGAGGCACACCGUCGGUGCAGGACGACAACGAGGAAGCUUCGAUCGAUUCAACCGAUGUCGCCAAGUCGGAAAGCGAUAAUGAUGCCGAAACAGAAGACGUGAAGAUUCCUCCGGAAGAAACGAAGCCCACUGAAACA
rnacentral:lncRNA from 1 species